CUAGACGUAAAUCAACUCCGUUUACCAGAGUACUACGAAUUAUAAAUUUAAAACUCAAAGAGCUUGGCGGUGCUUUAGACUUUUCAGGGGAACCUGUCCCGUAAUCGACAAUCCACGAAACAACCUCACCUCUUUUCGCACUCAGUAUGUAUACCGUCGUCGCCAGGUAACUUCUAAAAAUACAGCAGUUAGCAAAGAAGCUAUUAGCUUCUACGUCAGAUCAAGGUGCAGCUUAUAUAGAGGAGCGGAUGGGUUACAAUUAUUUAUUCAUAAUAACGGAUAUUAACUUUAACAGUUUUUUGAAGGCGGACUUGAAAGUAAACUUUAGCAGUCAAAUAUUUUGAAUCAAGCUCUGAAGCG
rnacentral:rRNA from 1 species